rnacentral:lncRNA from 12 species
UCUCUGGACACUGUCCCCUCACUGACCACUGUCCCCUCUCUGGACACUGUCCCCAAUGUCCUCUGUCUCCAUUGACCACUGUUCCUCUGUCCCCAGGUGUCCCCUCACUGACACUGUCCCCUCACUGUCCCCUGUGUCCCCAGUGUCCCCUCACUGACUCUGUCCUUCUGUCCCCAGUGUCUCCUCACAGACACUGUCCCCUUACUGACACUGUCCCCUCACUGUCCCUCGGUCCCCAGUGUCCCCUCACUGACACUGUCCCCUUACUGACACUGUCCCCUUACUGUCCCUCUGUCCCCAGUGUCCCCUCACUGUCCCUGUCCCCUCACUGUCCCUCUGUCCCCAGAUGUCCCCUGACUGACACUGUCCCUCUGUCCCCUCACUGGCACUGUCCCCUCACUGACACUGUCCCUCUGUCCCCAGUGUCCCCUUACUGGCACUGUCCCCUCACUGUCCCUCUGUCCCCAGUGUCCCCUCACUGUCCCUCUGUCCCCAGGUGUCCCCUGCCUGGCCUCGGUGCGGGCCCUGCUGCAGGCAGCGCUGCUCUGGCUCUCUCACUGCCCCCCGGGCUCUCUCUAUGCCCGCCUGUGCCAGCUGCUGGCCCUGGCUCUGGGGGACAGUGACCCGCUGGCCACCGCGGGGCUGCUGGCAGAGUCCCUGGGCGUCACCGCGCGCCACCAGCUGCUGGCCAUCGUCCACGCCCGGGCACGGAAGAAGAGGAAAGCAGCAGCAGCAGCAGCCGGAGGGGACAUCGGGGGUGACAUCGGGGGGGACAUCUCGGAUCAGCUGCGGGGCCUGUCCCUGCGGGAUGGGGACAGCAGGGACCCCUCCCAGGAUUCCCAGAGUUCCCAGGAUGGUUCCCAGGACGAUUCCCAGGACUCCCAGUCCCACCUGGCCCAGCUCCAGGAGCUGUUCCAGUUCAGCUCCUCGGGGCUGGGGCCGGCGCAGCGCCAGCGAUUCCGGGAGCAGCUCCAGGGGAUUCCCAGCGGUCAGUGCUGGGGAUCCCAAACUCCCGGGGAGGGAAAUCCCAAAUUCCCUGCCUGGGGAGUGGGAAAUCCCAA